UACCUGCAGCUCGGGUGGUGAUCGUUAUUAUUGGGCCUAAAACGUCCGUAGCCGGUCUUAUAAAUGCCUGGGUAAAUCGUAUGGCUUAACCAUACGAAUUCCGGGUAGACUGCUUGACUUGAGACCGGGAGAAGCUAGAGGUACUCCUUGGGUAGAGGUGAAAUUCUGUAAUCCUAGGGGGACCACCAGUGGCGAAGGCGUCUAGCUAGAACGGGUCUGACGGUGAGGGACGAAGCCCUGGGGCGCAAACGGGAUUAGAUACCCCGGUAGUCCAGGGUGUAAACGCUGCUUGCUUGAUGUUAGUCUGGCUCCGAGCCAGAUUAGUGUCGGAGAGAAGUUGUUAAGCAAGCUGCCUGGGAAGUACGGCCGCAAGACUGAAACUUAAAGGAAUUGGCGGGGGAGCACCACAAGGGGUGAAGCUUGCGGUUU
rnacentral:rRNA from 1 species